rnacentral:rRNA from 1 species
CACGUAGGCACCAAGCGUUGUCCGGAUUUAUUGGGCGUAAAGAGCUCGUAGGCGGUUCAGUAAGUCAGGUGUGAAAUCUUUGGGCUUAACCCAAAGCGCGCACUUGAUACUGCUGUGACUUGAGUUCGGUAGGGGAGUGGGGAAUUCCUAGUGUAGCGGUGAAAUGCGCAGAUAUUAGGAGGAACACCGGUGGCGAAGGCGCCACUCUGGGCCGAAACUGACGCUGAGGAGCGAAAGCGUGGGUAGCAAACAGG